rnacentral:rRNA from 1 species
UACGAAGGGGGCUAGCGUUGCUCGGAAUCACUGGGCGUAAAGGGUGCGUAGGCGGGUUUUUAAGUCAGGGGUGAAAUCCUGGAGCUCAACUCCAGAACUGCCUUUGAUACUGAAGAUCUUGAGUCCGGGAGAGGUGAGUGGAACUGCGAGUGUAGAGGUGAAAUUCGUAGAGACCGGGAAGAACACCAGUGGCGAAGGCGGCUACCUGGACAGGUACUGACGCUGAAGCGCGAAAGCUAGGGGAGCAAACAGG